GCUCCUACCGAUUGAGUGAUCCGGUGAAUUAUUCGGACUGACGCAGUGCUCAGCUGCUGGACGUUGCGUUGGAAAGUUUCAUGAACCUUAUCACUUAGAGGAAGGAGAAGUCGUAACAAGGUUUCCGUAGGUGAACCUGCAGAAGGAUCAAGAUCGGAAAGGCCGUCGGUUGGGGAAGAGUGUAAGACUUGGUGGUCGGCGUAUCAAUAAAAAAAAAAAAACCAAUAGUAACUAGCAUGUUCGCUGCACGUUACAUAACCAAACUGCUACGUACCUC
rnacentral:misc_RNA from 1 species